CGAUWCAACUUGCCUGCAAGUCAUCGGGUUAUACGAAACCCGCCGUGUGGAGGCGCAGUGAAAGUGACUGGGUGUGUGAUCCCGUCGGAAGUUGGAGGCGGGCGCAACACCGGCCCGUUGCAUGGCGUGUCUGUUGUGCCUGUGUGUGACUGUGUGUAUGCAUGCAUGCAUGCAUGCGCAGACGCAGAUGGCCGACAGUGGUCUCGGUGACCGAGCACGAGCAGGCAGGUUGAGACCCGAAAGAUGGUGAACUAUGCUUGCGCAGGUUGAAGCCAGAGGAAACUCUGGUGGAGGACCGCAGCGAUUCUGACGUGCAAAUCGAWCGUCAAACGUGAGUAUA
rnacentral:rRNA from 1 species